GAAACACUCAUUAAGAACUCGAACUUGGACAUAGAAGCAGAACUUGCACUUGUACAAGAAGAAAAGAAGGAACUCCAGAACAAGGAAGGAACGAAGGAUGCUGAAAAAAUAGCCAUGAAAGAAUUGGGUCUAAAAAGGGCUAGAUUUUAUGGUUGGCCAAACACCUAUGUGUUUACAAAGGCAAUGGGAGAGAUGUUGCUUGGGCACUUGAGAGGAGACAUACCCUUAGUUAUUGUGCGACCUAGUAUUAUAACUAGCAUUUACAGAGAUCCAUUGCCCGGUUGGAUGGAAGGAAGAAGGACUAUUGAUAGCAUGAUAAUCGGUUAUGCUAAGGGGAGACUUCCUUGCUUCCUUGGAGAGUUUGAAUUGGUGAUGGAUGUAAUCCCGGGAGACAUGGUAGUGAAUGCAA
rnacentral:misc_RNA from 1 species